rnacentral:rRNA from 1 species
GCCCAGACUCCUACGGGAGGCAGCAGUGGGGAAUAUUGGACAAUGGGGGGAACCCUGAUCCAGCGACGCCGCGUGAGUGAAGAAGUAUUUCGGUAUGUAAAGCUCUAUCAGCAGGGAAGAAAGAAAUGACGGUACCUGACUAAGAAGCCCCGGCUAACUACGUGCCAGCAGCCGCGGUAAUACGUAGGGGGCAAGCGUUAUCCGGAUUUACUGGGUGUAAAGGGAGCGUAGACGGUGAUGCAAGUCAGAAGUGAAAGCCCGGGGCUCAACUCCGGGACUGCUUUUGAAACUGUGUGACUGGAGUGCAGGAGAGGUAAGCGGAAUUCCUGGUGUAGCGGUGAAAUGCGUAGAUAUCAGGAGGAACACCAGUGGCGAAGGCGGCUUACUGGACUGUAACUGACGUUGAGGCUCGAAAGCGUGGGGAGCAAACAGGAUUAGAUACCCCAGUA